GCAGUAGACGGACAGAGGAGUCGUAGCGGUCGAGGCUUUUGCGGCUCCGGCGUGCCGGAAACGUACGCGUCCUUUUUCCUAAGAGCGCCCUAAACAAGAAUUGAAAAUGAAGCAAUUCCUGGCUAAAAUAUUCCUUAACAUGAAGAUCGCUGAGGCCCCAAAGACUCAUUAGUUUCCCGAGGUCACAGACUAAUUUUACUAACCACACAACCUUUAGAAUUUCAGUCUCCUCCCACAUGAAGAAACGCCGGCACCUUACACCGACAGGAAAACUACAAUUAAGUGAGGCUGUUCUCCUCAAGCCCGACUGAGUUCUCUGUAAUUGUAGGGCAUACCUACACCCUGUUUUAGCAUUAUGAGACCUGAAAUACUUUUAAAUUACUGGCACCAUUUCUCAUCUCUGAAUUAUAAGUUUAUAAUGCUCUAUCCCUUCCAGUGUUAUUGACUACAUGCAUUAUUCAUAGAUAAGUAGUAGGACUAAGCUAGUCUUUGUGGGUUAAAGUGUUAUUAUCCCUAUUGUAACCUGUAACUAUUAUAG
rnacentral:lncRNA from 1 species